CAGUCAGUCCAUUAAUCUCUUUAUCUGAAUGUGUUUCUAUAGAAAUUUAGAAAAAACUGACAAUAGCAAUGCCAUGUUAACAGCCUUAGGAAAAACGGAAGUGAAGUUAUUAGGGUCCCUGAAAAUGGCUACAGUA
ensembl:snoRNA